rnacentral:rRNA from 1 species
CGUAGGGUGCAAGCGUUAAUCGGGAAUUACUGGGCGUAAAGCGUGCGCAGGCGGUUUUGUAAGUCAGAUGUGAAAUCCCCGAGCUCAACUUGGGAACUGCGUUUGAAACUACAAGACUAGAAUAUGUCAGAGGGGGGUAGAAUUCCACGUGUAGCAGUGAAAUGCGUAGAGAUGUGGAGGAAUACCAAUGGCGAAGGCAGCCCCCUGGGAUAAUAUUGACGCUCAUGCACGAAAGCGUGGGGAGCAAACAGGAUUAGAUACCCUGGUAGUCCACGCCCUAAACGAUGUCUACUAGUUGUUGGUGGAGUAAAAUCCAUGAGUAACGCAGCUAACGCGUGAAGUAGACCGCCUGGGGAGUACGGUCGCAAGAUUA